rnacentral:misc_RNA from 1 species
AACUUGCAGCAAUGGAUCUCUUGGCUCUCGCAGCGAUGAAGAACGCAGCGAAAUGCGAUAGUAAUGUGAAUUGCAGAAUUCAGUGAAUCAUCGAAUCUUUGAACGCACCUUGCACCCUUUGGCAUUCCGAAGGGUAUGCUCGUUUGAGUGUCAUUGUACUCUCAUGCUCCCGAUGCUUUUGGAUCGGGAGUGGUGGACUUGGGUGUUGCUGCUUUACUGUGGCUCACCUCAAAUGGAGUAGUGCAACUCUUGGUUGGACAUAGUACGGCGUGAUAAGUGUCUUCGCCGGCGCCUCAUUAGAGGGUGGCCGAUCGGGAGCUCUGUGCUUCAAACCGUCUUCGGACAACAUCUGACAACUUGACCUCAAAUCGAGUAGGACUACCCGCUGAACUUAAGCAUAUCAAUAAGCGGAGGCU